GCCCCGGUGGUCGAGCUGGCUAAGACGCCCGUCAUGAGGGAGGUCCCGGGUUCGAAUCCCGGCUGGGGUA